GAUGAACGCUAGCGGGAGGCUUAAUACAUGCAAGUCGAGGGGUAACAUGGAUGCUUGCAUCUGAUGACGACCGGCGCACGGGUGAGUAACGCGUACACAACCUACCUUUAAGAGGGGGAUAGCCUUGGGAAACUGAGAUUAAUACCCCAUGUGAUUACAAUUUAUUAUGAUGUUGUAAUUAAAGACUUCGGUUGCUUAGAGAUGGGUGUGCGUACCAUUAGGUAGUUGGUAAGGUAACGGCUUACCAAGCCGACGAUGGUUAGGGGGCGUGAGAGCGUGACCCCCCACACGGGUACUGAGACACGGACCCGACUCCUACGGGAGGCAGCAGUAAGGAAUAUUGGACAAUGGGGGCAACCCUGAUCCAGCCAUCCCGCGUGCAGGACGACGGCCCUCUGGGUUGUAAACUGCUUUUGUUAGGGAAGAAACGCCUGGAUUUAUCCGGGUCUGACGGUACCUAAAGAAUAAGCACCGGCUAACUCCG
rnacentral:rRNA from 1 species